rnacentral:rRNA from 1 species
CAGCAGUGAGGAAGGUGGGGUAUGGUUAAUAGCAUACUCAUUUGACGUUAGCUGCAGAAGAAAGCACCGGCUAACUCCGUGCCAGCAGCCGCGGUAAUACGGAGGGUGCGAGCGUUAAUCGGAAUUACUGGGCGUAAAGCGCAUGCAGGUGGUUUGUUAAGUCAGAUGUGAAAGCCCGGGGCUCAACCUCGGAAUUGCAUUUGAAACUGGCAAACUAGAGUACUGUAGAGGGGGGUAGGAAUUUCAGGUGUAGCGGUGAAAUGCGUAGAGAUCUGAAGGAAUACCGGUGGCGAAGGCGGCCCCCUGGACAGAUACUGACACUCAGAUGCGAAAGCGUGGGGAGCAAACAGGAUUAGAUACCCUGGUAG